rnacentral:rRNA from 1 species
UACAGAGGGUGCGAGCGUUGUCCGGAAUCACUGGGCGUAAAGGGCGCGUAGGUGGCGACCCAAGUCGAUGGUGAAAGCUCGCCGCUCAACGGCGAGUCGGCCACUGAUACUGGGUUGCUGGAGCACUGUAGAGGCAGAUGGAAUUCCGGGUGUAGCGGUGGAAUGCGUAGAGAUCCGGAAGAACAUCGGUGGCGAAGGCGCUCUGCUGGACCAUAACUGACACUCAGGGACGAAAGCUAGGGGAGCGAAUGGG